rnacentral:rRNA from 1 species
GACAGAGGGUGCAAACGUUGUUCGGAAUUACUGGGCGUAAAGCGUGUGUAGGCGGCUAGGUAAGUCGGAUGUGAAAGCCCCGGGCUCAACUCGGGAAGUGCACUCGAUACUGCUUAGCUCGAGUACCGGAGAGGUUGGUGGAAUUCUCGGUGUAGAGGUGAAAUUCGUAGAUAUCGAGAGGAACACCGGUGGCGAAGGCGGCCAACUGGACGAGUACUGACGCUGAGACACGAAAGCGUGAGGAGCAAACAGG